rnacentral:rRNA from 1 species
UUAAAUUGAAGAGUUUGAUCAUGGCUCAGAUUGAACGCUGGCGGCAGGCCUAACACAUGCAAGUCGAACGGUAACAGAAAGAAGCUUGC